CACUCCUGCGGGAGGCAGCAGUGGGGAAUAUUGCACAAUGGGCGCAAGCCUGAUGCAGCCAUGCCGCGUGUAUGAAGAAGGCCUUCGGGUUGUAAAGUACUUUCAGCGGGGAGGAAGGCGAUAAGGUUAAUAACCUUGUCGAUUGACGUUACCCGCAGAAGAAGCACCGGCUAACUCCGUGCCAGCAGCCGCGGUAAUACGGAGGGUGCAAGCGUUAAUCGGAAUUACUGGGCGUAAAGCGCACGCAGGCGGGCUGUCAAGUCGGAUGUGAAAUCCCCGGGCUCAACCUGGGAACUGCAUUCGAAACUGGCAGGCUAGAGUCUUGUAGAGGGGGGUAGAAUUCCAGGUGUAGCGGUGAAAUGCGUAGAGAUCUGGAGGAAUACCGGUGGCGAAGGCGGCCCCCUGGACAAAGACUGACGCUCAGGUGCGAAAGCGUGGGGAGCAAACAGGAUUAGAAACCCGAGUAGUCCCA
rnacentral:rRNA from 1 species